GAUGAACGCUGGCGGCGUGCCUAAUACAUGCAAGUCGAGCGAACGGACGAGAAGCUUGCUUCUCUGAUGUUAGCGGCGGACGGGUGAGUAACACGUGGAUAACCUACCUAUAAGACUGGGAUAACUUCGGGAAACCGGAGCUAAUACCGGAUAAUAUUUUGAACCGCAUGGUUCAAAAGUGAAAGACGGUCUUGCUGUCACUUAUAGAUGGAUCCGCGCUGCAUUAGCUAGUUGGUAAGGUAACGGCUUACCAAGGCAACGAUGCAUAGCCGACCUGAGAGGGUGAUCGGCCACACUGGAACUGAGACACGGUCCAGACUCCGACGGGAGGCAGCAGUAGGGAAUCUUCCGCAAUGGGCGAAAGCCUGACGGAGCAACGCCGCGUGAGUGAGGAAGGUCUUCGGAUCGUAAAACUCUGUUAUUAGGGAAGAACAUAUGUGUAAGUCACUGUGCACAUCUUGACGGUACCUAAGCAGAGAGCCACGGCUAACUACGG
rnacentral:rRNA from 1 species